GAUGAAGAACGUAGCGAAAUGCGAUACUUGGUGUGAAUUGCAGAAUCCCGUGAACCAUCGAGUCUUUGAACGCAAGUUGCGCCCGAAGCCAUUAGGCCGAGGGCACGCCUGCCUGGGCGUCACACGUCGUUGCCCCCCCCAUCUACUCCUUCGGGAUUGCGGGGGGCGGAUGAUGGCCUCCCGUGCGCCUCGCCGCGCGGUUGGCAUAAAUGCCAAGUCCUCGGCGACGCACGCCCCGACAAUCGGUGGUUGCGAAACCUCGGUUGCCCGUCGUGUGCGGUCGUCGCGCAUCGAGGGCUCGAAAAAAUUGCCGAGUUCCGGCUCGGCUUUCAACGCGACCCCAGGUCAGGCGGGGUUACCCGCUGAAUUUAAGCAUAUCAAUAAGCGGAGGA
rnacentral:misc_RNA from 1 species